rnacentral:piRNA from 1 species
UCAAUGAAUUUCGAUUUUGUU